GAUGAACGCUGGCGGCGUGCCUAAUACAUGCAAGUCGAGCGGACAGAUAAGGAGCUUGCUCCUUUGACGUUAGCGGCGGACGGGUGAGUAACACGUGGGUAACCUACCUAUAAGACUGGAAUAACUCCGGGAAACCGGGGCUAAUGCCGGAUAACAUUUAGAACCGCAUGGUUCUAAAGUGAAAGAUGGUUUUGCUAUCACUUAUAGAUGGACCCGCGCCGUAUUAGCUAGUUGGUAAGGUAACGGCUUACCAAGGCAACGAUACGUAGCCGACCUGAGAGGGUGAUCGGCCACACUGGAACUGAGACACGGUCCAGACUCCUACGGGAGGCAGCAGUAGGGAAUCUUCCGCAAUGGGCGAAAGCCUGACGGAGCAACGCCGCGUGAGUGAUGAAGGUCUUCGGAUCGUAAAACUCUGUUAUUAGGGAAGAACAAAUGUGUAAGUAACUGUGCACGUCUUGACGGUACCUAAUCAGAAAGCCACGGCUAACUACGUG
rnacentral:rRNA from 1 species